GGGUGACAGCCCCGUACACAAAAAUGCACAUAUUGUGAGCUCGAUGAGUAGGGCGGGACACGUGGUAUCCUGUCUGAAUAUGGGGGGACCAUCCUCCAAGGCUAAAUACUCCUGACUGACCGAUAGUGAACCAGUACCGUGAGGGAAAGGCGAAAAGAACCCCGGCGAGGGGAGUGAAAAAGAACCUGAAACCGUGUACGUACAAGCAGUGGGAGCCUCUUAAUGGGGUGACUGCGUACCUUUUGUAUAAUGGGUCAGCGACUUAUAUUCUGUAGCAAGGUUAACCGAAUAGGGGAGCCGAAGGGAAACCGAGUCUUAACUGGGCGUUAAGUUGCAGGGUAUAGACCCGAAACCCGGUGAUCUAGCCAUGGGCAGGUUGAAGGUUGGGUAACACUAACUGGAGGACCGAACCGACUAAUGUUGAAAAAUUAGCGGAUGACUUGUGGCUGGGGGUGAAAGGCCAAUCAAACCGGGAGAUAGCUGGUUCUCCCCGAAAGCUAUUUAGGUAGCGCCUCGUGAAUUCAUCUCCGGGGGUAGAGCACUGUUUCGGCAAGGGGGUCAUCCCGACUUACCAACCCGAUGCAAACUGCGAAUACCGGAGAAUGUUAUCACGGGAGACACACGGCGGGUGCUAACGUCCGUCGUGAAGAGGGAAACAACCCAGACCGCCAGCUAAGGUCCCAAAGUCAUGGUUAAGUGGGAAACGAUGUGGGAAGGCCCAGACAGCCAGGAUGUUGGCUUAGAAGCAGCCAUCAUUUAAAGAAAGCGUAAUAGCUCACUGGUCGAGUCGGCCUGCGCGGAAGAUGUAACGGGGCUAAACCAUGCACCGAAGCUGCGGCAGCGACACUAUGUGUUGUUGGGUAGGGGAGCG
rnacentral:rRNA from 1 species